rnacentral:tRNA from 1 species
UCCCUUGUAACUCAGUAAGUAAAGAAUCUGCCUGCAAUGCAGAAGACCUGGGUUCAAUCCCUAGGUUGGGAA